rnacentral:rRNA from 1 species
AUACGGAGGAUGCGAGCGUUAUCCGGAUUUAUUGGGUUUAAAGGGUGCGCAGGCGGCGUGUCAAGUCAGCGGUCAAAAUGCGGCGCUCAACGCCGUACCGCCGUUGAAACUGGCAUGCUCGAGUUCGUGCGAGGAUGGCGGAAUGCGCGGUGUAGCGGUGAAAUGCAUAGAUAUCGCGCAGAACUCCGAUUGCGAAGGCAGCUGUCCAGCACACGACUGACGCUCAUGCACGAAAGCGUGGGUAUCGAACAGGAUUAGAUACCCUGGUAGUCCACGCGGUAAACGAUGAUAACUAGUUAUUCGGCGCGAGUGAGUGCUGAGUGACCGAGCGAAAGCGUUAAGUUAUCCACCUGGGGAGUACGCCGGCAACGGUGAAACUCAAAGGAAUUGACGGGG